AUUGAACGCUGGCGGCAGGCCUAACACAUGCAAGUCGAGCGGAUGAAGGGAGCUUGCUCCUGGAUUCAGCGGCGGACGGGUGAGUAAUGCCUAGGAAUCUGCAUGGUAGUGGGGGAUAACGUCCGGAAACGGGCGCUAAUACCGCAUACGUCCUGAGGGAGAAAGUGGGGGAUCUUCGGACCUCACGCUAUCAGAUGAGCCUAGGUCGGAUUAGCUAGUUGGUGGGGUAAAGGCCUACCAAGGCGACGAUCCGUAACUGGUCUGAGAGGAUGAUCAGUCACACUGGAACUGAGACACGGUCCAGACUCCUGCAGGAGGCAGCAGUGGGGAAUAUUGGACAAUGGGCGAAAGCCUGAUCCAGCCAUGCCGCGUGUGUGAAGAAGGUCUUCGGAUUGUAAAGCACUUUAAGUUGGGAGGAAGGGCAGUAAGUUAAUACCUUGCUGUUUUGACGUUACCAACAGAAUAAGCACCGGCUAACUUCGUG
rnacentral:rRNA from 1 species